rnacentral:rRNA from 1 species
UCGGGAAUUUUGGGCAAUGGGGGAAACCCUGACCCAGCAACGCCGCGUGAAGGAUGAAGUAUUUCGGUAUGUAAACUUCGAAAGAAUAGGAAGAAUAAAUGACGGUACUAUUUAUAAGGUCCGGCUAACUACGUGCCAGCAGCCGCGGUAAUACGUAGGGACCAAGCGUUGUUCGGAUUUACUGGGCGUAAAGGGCGCGUAGGCGGCAUGACAAGUCACUUGUGAAAUCUCUGGGCUUAACCCAGAACGGCCAAGUGAUACUGUCGCGCUAGAGUGCAGAAGGGGCAAUCGGAAUUCUUGGUGUAGCGGUGAAAUGCGUAGAUAUCAAGAGGAACACCUGAGGUGAAGACGGGUUGCUGGGCUGACACUGACGCUGAGGCACGAAAGCCAGGGGAGCAAACGGGAUUAGAUACCCAAGUAGUCCCUGAGCGGGCUGGCAAGGCGCAU